AUUAUCUAUGACAAAGGAUACCAGAAAGUAGAUCCCUUUGCGGGAACACCGUUGGUGAAGGUGAAAGGCGUUGCAAAGACGAGACGCUCUGGGAAAGUAUAUGACGCAGUCGACCUCGUCAAACCUGCCCUGGAA
rnacentral:ribozyme from 1 species